AAAAAAUAGUCAGGGAAAAAAAUAAUAAUGAGUUAGGGCUUAAAAACGUGGGUCUCUCUCUCUCUCGCUCGUCUGCCCUUCGAUUCUCUCUCUCGCUUUUGUCUCCAUCGCCGUCAAUACAGGAGCACCAUUGGCGCCGAAGCUCGUCGCACACGAGGACCAUCACAAACCAGCAGCCUAUAUCGUCUUAUCUCGGAGUCACGAUCCAUCAUUGGAGCACUACCCUAGGCCAAUCUAGAACCUUCUUGUUCGUCGACUUCCAUUGGCACAUGAGGUGAAUUUUGCUCUUUCCAUUGCUUUAGUAAUUGUUGAUAACUAUGGAAAAUAGCUCUUAGUAAAUAUUUAAAUGAGAAUUGUUACAACGUUUAUUUCUGUUAAUUUUGUAAAAGCAGCAACCUACUUUUGCUUAUGUGUUCUAUAAGCCAGUGAAAAUCCAUUAGAAAUUCUUGCUCUCUGUUUUGCUAUUCUAACCAAGUUUUGGGGGGAAAUAAUCAUGCUAUUGUGUUCCUUCUUGUGUCUGUUAUUACACUGUUAAUAGAUUUUUCAAAUUCAGUUCUAUAGCAUAGAUAUUCUGCUAAUAUUGCUGAAUAUAAUAGAUAUACUAUUCAAAGGCAUGUGCUUAGUUGAGAUGUAUCUUGAAUUUUGGUUUAACUAUAAUUGAAUAUGUUUCAAGCAAUAAAUGAUAAAGAGUCUUGUUGGAGUGCAUACACAAAGUUAUUAAGCAAAAUAGAGAAAAUAUGAUUAAGAUAUAUACCUGUUUGAUAUUUUACUUGUUGGCUGCUUAUCUUUCCUUUCAUUUUAUGCACAAUAGAUCUUCAUUCAAUGUGUUUAAACCAUGGUUAGAAACCCGUUACCAGUGUCCUUGAAUCCUUGGUCCUGAAAUAUUGUCUUAUGAUAGAUAUUUUGGAAGAUGUGCCUAAUUAUUAUGGGGAACUGUAGUCUUGCUGCAUAUGGUGACAAUUUAUAUUAGCUUGGUGCUACAGCAUAUUAUUGUUUGUUUGAAUGUUGUCUAAUUCAAGUAUUUGCACCAAAUGCUCGUAUUAUCUAGUGUAUUUCCAUGUGACAUUUGGUUUAACUUAUAUAGUUGCAGGAUGUUUAUUUUGAUUCAACCUUUGUCUCUUGAAUAGUACAACAGAUGUGUGCUAAUUGAUACAUAGAUCAGUUAUUUGCUAAAAUUUCCAUGUAGAUGAGCAAGUGAAGUGUUGGUGCCCACCACUUGGGAGUUUGUGUAACAUCAAGUGGAAAAUGAGUCUGACAUCAACAAUUAAAACCUAAUCAACUUCAGCUGAUCUAUCCAGCAAGCAACUAGCUUUGAUAAUAUAUCUAUGACAAAAGAUUGUUGAUUUUCAAGAAGUGAUACACAUUAAUACUAAGUAUGACAAAUUCAGUCCCUGCUUUGCAUUGUAGGCUUUCUUUCUUCAUCACCAUUUCUUUACUAACUUUAUUUGACUUUUAACUUUUUUUACAUGGGUUAUUAUACAAGACACCUUAGAUAUAUGCAUGAGUAAUACUAUCACAUGAAGCAUUUAGUAAUAAUCAGUUGGUAUGAUGUUUAGGAAUCUCUAUACUUCUCCAAGUUUACUUAAAUUUUUCUUCAAAUAGAUUUUUAUGUCAUUGAUCUUUUCAAAUAUGAUACUAGUUUACUGUAAGGACUGAGCCAACUUAAACUUUUAAUUAUAUUAAUAGGGACCUAGGAAAGUUUAUUGAAUCAUAACUAGAACUCAAGUCCAAUUUUUUGGCUGGUUGGCUUGGAGAGGAAGGAUAAAGACCUCUAGCUAUUUUCAAAGAAUUGGCAUUCUAAAUGGUGAAGCUAAUGUAAAUUGCAUUUUAUGAAAUGAAGAGGUGGAAGACUUAAACAAUGUGUUGCUCUUUCAUCCUUUUAUUUGGAAGGUCUGGUCUUAUAUUAUCAUAUGGUGAGGCUUGCAAUGGGUACUACUUGGCUCUAUGAAUUGCUUAUUACAAUGGUGGGUUGGUAUUAAAUUUAAAAAAACAGGAUAAUAUAAUCUGGAAGGCUAGGGCAGAGUAUUUAGGCUGGUGAUUUUGCUUUAGGUUUGUGCUGACAUUACUUGUUUUUGCUAUACAACCUUUUGUGUACCAUUUCCUAAUUCCAUGCUUCCAUACCCAUUUAGGCUUUAGUUACUUUAAACUUUGUAUUAAUCAUUUCUACACCUAUAUAAUCUCAUAUUAAACAAUCUGAAUUUUUUUGUAUGGUUGGGAUUGUUUAUCUUAUUUUUGGUUGAAUAUGAACCGUUAGAUUGAAGGUUUACCUUAAGGAUUAAACUAGGAUUAGUAAAGGACCUAUUUAUACAUCUUGUGGGACUAUUUUAAAGGGAAAAAAACACAACUUUUCUGAAUCUUGCAGUUCUCUUUGUUUUUGUUGGGGAAAUUUGGUUGUUAACAAUUUUGGAUUAUCAGCUGAAUUAUGAGAGGGGCAAUUGUUGAGCAAUCCAAGUUAAGAAGACUGAGGAUGUUGAUAAGGAUAAGAAGAAGAAGCGUUAAUCCAAUCCACGAUCCAAACAAAAUUCCUCUGUUUCAGUAUAUUCCUCAUUGGUUUGAAACCAAAUGAGCCAUAUUUGAGCGUUUUUUCGAACGAUAUACAAUCCUCUUAUCGAUAGCAAUUAUAUGGCCAUAUACAGCAUUUCUGACUGCAGCAGGUGCAUAUAAUAAAAGGCCCCCAAAUAUUCAGUCUAGUUGCCGUGUUGACCGCUCUGGGAUCCUUGAAGGCGCUUCUUGGUUGCUUUUGCGUGGGUUAUUGUGAAUAUUUAUUGUUGUGUACGAAGAGCAUUUGUUCUGUGUAUGGAAGACAUUUAUUUUUGUACAAUCGUCUGUUUUGAAAAUCUAGUGUUUUUGUAUGUAAUAUUUAAUUUAGAUAAAUUA